UACGUAGGUGACAAGCGUUGUCCGGAUUUACUGGGCGUAAAGAGCGCGCAGGCGGUCGUUCAAGUCGAGUGUGGAAGCCCCCGGCUCAACUGGGGAGGGUCAUUCGAUACUGAUCGACUCGAAGGCAGGAGAGGGUAGUGGAAUUCCCGGUGUAGUGGUGAAAUGCGUAGAUAUCGGGAGGAACACCAGUGGCGAAGGCGACUACCUGGCCUGUUCUUGACGCUGAGGCGCGAAAGCUAGGGGAGCAAACGGG
rnacentral:rRNA from 1 species